rnacentral:rRNA from 1 species
AUUGAACGCUGGCGGCAUGCCUUACACAUGCAAGUCGAACGGCAGCACGGGUGCUUGCACCUGGUGGCGAGUGGCGAACGGGUGAGUAUACAUCGGAACGUACCUUAUCGUGGGGGAUAACGCAGCGAAAGCUGUGCUAAUACCGCAUACGCCCUGAGGGGGAAAGCGGGGGAUCGAAAGACACCGCGCGAUUAGACGGGCCGAUGCCUGAUUAGCUUGUUGGUGGGGUAAAAGCCCACCAAGGCGACGAUCAGUAGCUGGUCUGAGAGGACGAUCAGCCACACUGGGACUGAGACACGGCCCAGACUCCUACGGGAGGCAGCAGUGGGGAAUUUUGGACAAUGGGGGCAACCCUGAUCCAGCAAUGCCGCGUGAGUGAAGAAGGCCUUCGGGUUGUAAAGCUCUUUUGUCAGGGAAGAAACACCGGCUCUAACACAGUCCGGGAAUGACGGUACCUGAAGAAUAAGCACCGGCUAACUACGUGCCAGCCGCCGCCGUAA